rnacentral:rRNA from 1 species
UACGGGAGGUAGCAGUGGGGAAUAUUGCACAAUGGGCGCAAGCCUGAUGCAGCCAUGCCGCGUGUAUGAAGAAGGCCUUCGGGUUGUAAAGUACUUUCAGUCGUGAGGAAGGUGUUAAGGUUAAUAACCUUAGCAAUUGACGUUAGCGACAGAAGAAGCACCGGCUAACUCCGUGCCAGCAGCCGCGGUAAUACGGAGGGUGCGAGCGUUAAUCGGAAUUACUGGGCGUAAAGGGCACGCAGGCGGUUAAUUAAGUUGGAUGUGAAAUCCCCGGGCUUAACCUGGGAAUGGCAUUCAAGACUGGUUAGCUAGAGUCUUGUAGAGGGGGUAGAAUUCCAUGUGUAGCGGUGAAAUGCGUAGAGAUGCGGAGGAAUACCGGUGGCGAAGGCGGCCCCUGGACAAAGACUGACGCUCAUGUGCGAAAGCGUGGGGAGCAAACAGGGAUUAGAUACC